rnacentral:tRNA from 1 species
AAAUAAGUAAGCUAAAUUAAAAAGCUUUUAGAUUCAUACUCUAAAUAUAGAAUUUAUUCUCUUAUUUA